rnacentral:pre_miRNA from 1 species
UAGGUAGUUUCACGUUGUUGGGAAUUCAUUUUUAAUACACAAGAACAUAAAACUACCUGAU